rnacentral:rRNA from 1 species
CAGUAGCCGCGGUAAUACGAAGGGGGCUAGCGUUGUUCGGAAUUACUGGGCGUAAAGCGCACGUAGGCGGAUAUUUAAGUCAGGGGUGAAAUCCCGCAGCUCAACUGCGGAACUGCCUUUGAUACUGGGUAUCUUGAGUAUGGAAGAGGUAAGUGGAAUUCCGAGUGUAGAGGUGAAAUUCGUAGAUAUUCGGAGGAACACCAGUGGCGAAGGCGGCUUACUGGUCCAUUACUGACGCUGAGGUGCGAAAGCGUGGGGAGCAAACAGGAUUAGAUACCCGCGUAGUCCCUGUCUCUUAUAC